GAUGAACGCUGGCGGCGUGCUUAACACAUGCAAGUCGAACGGUGAAGGCGGAGCUUGCUCUGCUGGAUCAGUGGCGAACGGGUGAGUAACACGUGAGCAAUCUGCCCCUGACUCUGGGAUAAGCGCUGGAAACGGCGUCUAAUACUGGAUACGAGCUGCGAAGGCAUCUUCAGCAGCUGGAAAGAAUUUCGGUCAGGGAUGAGCUCGCGGCCUAUCAGCUUGUUGGUGAGGUAAUGGCUCACCAAGGCGUCGACGGGUAGCCGGCCUGAGAGGGUGACCGGCCACACUGGGACUGAGACACGGCCCAGACUCCUACGGGAGGCAGCAGUGGGGAAUAUUGCACAAUGGGCGAAAGCCUGAUGCAGCAACGCCGCGUGAGGGACGACGGCCUUCGGGUUGUAAACCUCUUUUAGCAGGGAAGAAGCGAAAGUGACGGUACCUGCAGAAAAAGCGCCGGCUAACUACGU
rnacentral:rRNA from 1 species